GAACAGACCCAGAUGUGUAACACAUUGUACCAGGCUUUGCAGUCACCUUCUCUUGUGAAUUCAACAUUAUCUGAACUAUUUGAGCAUCUCCGCCUAAUAUCUGAAAAGGCAUUUUGUCUCCUUGUGGGCCCUGAUAAACAUAGGGCUGGAACGGUGUGUUGAACGACGGUGCGGCCAUGGCUGUGACGAGAUCGAGAGCGGCGGAGACUUUCCG
rnacentral:misc_RNA from 1 species